rnacentral:lncRNA from 1 species
CCUGUCACCAAGGCAACGCGGACCUGGUGCGACUGCUCCUGGCACACGCAGACUGCAACAGCAACCUGACUGACAAGGCUUAGGCGUCAAGUGGGUGUCAGGGGACCUUCAGCGUGACAAGGAGUGGUAGUGAGACCUGCGCACCGGCUGCCAACUUCUUCCUGAGAAGACAUUUCAGAAUAUCCAUCGAAUGGGAACGUUUCUGAGACAGAGAUUACAGCUUGAGCAUCAUUACCUGAUAUAUAAUGGGUUCGUGGCCGGCCAAACAGCUUUGUCCAUCGUUCUGAAUUCACCUGCCCACGUGGAAAUCGCAGAGCUUCUGAGGGCCCACUCGGAGCAGGGCAGGUCCCUGGGGCUGAAGGAGCUGCAGAAGAAUUAGCAGCCAAGAACAAAAGGUUCCUUUGCUGGACUCCCCCCCUGCCCUUAGAGAGGGCUGGGGUCACAGCCAGAGGGCCACCAUUCAAGACAGAAACUAUGUCAAAUAUGCACAAUACAUUCCCGGCAUACAGUUCUGCUCAUUAGGAUGCUUGGUAGUGUUUGUCUUAGGCCAAACCCCCCAAACUACAUGAGGUCCAGAGCAGGGUGCGAGGUGCAGAGUGCAGGCUGCAGUGGAGUCACCCAGAAAUUCAAAACAGCUUCAGCUUUGAAUUCCUCACGAUGUUGUCUUUGCAGCCCUGUGUAGCAAGCACGUAGGUAAGGGCACACUCGCACAGUAGAAAAAGCAAUACUUUUUACAUGGAGUUUUAAAGGGCACCGUC